rnacentral:rRNA from 1 species
CCCAAAGNAUAAUGCUCGUGCCAGACAGUCCGUCGCUAGUACGGGAGUNNCAAGNAUGAUCCGUANUUAUUNUGCGUAAUAGCGUGCGGCUAGACGAGCUUUUCAAGUGUGCUGAUAAAAAGUGGAGGCAUAACUCAGUCAUGACAUCGGAAACUGAGAUGCAUAGAGUGUGAUAGGGCAGUGAUAGUGCCAAGUGUAGUGGUGAAAUGCGUAGAUAUCGGGAAGAACACCAGUGGCGAAGGCGCUCUGCUGGGCCAUCAUUGACGCUCAUGGACGAAAGCCAGGGGAGAGAACAGGGAUAAGAUACCCGUGUAGUCAUGCUCGUAAUCGAUGAACACUAGGUGUCGGGGGAAUCGACCCCCUUGGUGUCGUAGCCACGGCGUUAAGUGUUCCGCCUCGGGAGUACGCAAGCAAGUGUGAAACUCAAAGGAUUUGACGGGGGCCCGCACAAGCGCUCGAGUAUGUGAUCUAAUUGGAUGCAACGAGAAGAACCUUACCACGGUUUGACAUCCUGACAAUUUCUUGGAAACGAGAGAGUGCCUUCGGGAACGCAUUGACAGGUGGUGCCACAGGUCGUCAGCUCGUUUCUUGAGAUGUUGGGUUAAGUCCCGCAACGAGUGCAACCCAGGUCUUUAGUUGCCAGCAUUUAGUUGGGCACUCUAGAGAGACCUCCGGUGAUAAACCGGAGGAUGGUGUGGAUGAAGUCAAGUCAUCAUGCCCGUUACAUCGUGGGUUACACACGUGGUACAAUGCUACGGACAAAGGGCUGCAAGUUCGGGAGGACAAGCAAAUCCCAUAAACCGUCGCUCAGUUCAGAUUCUAGGCUGCAACUCGCCUACGAGAAGGAGGCAUGGAUAGUAAUUUCAUGUCAGCAUAGGACGGGGAAUACGUUCCCAGGCCGUGUCCACACCGCCCGUCACACCAUGGAAGUUGGCCACGCCUGAAGCCGUUACUCCAACCCUUGUGGAGGACGACGUCCAAGGUGGGGCUGAUGACUGGGGUGAAGUCGUAACAAGGUAACCGUA